rnacentral:rRNA from 1 species
AUACGGAGGAUCCGAGCGUUAUCCGGAUUUAUUGGGUUUAAAGGGUGCGCAGGCGGCCAUUUAAGUCAGCGGUUAAAUCGUGGGGCUCAACCCCAUUCUGCCGUUGAUACUGGGUGGCUUGAUUGCGGUCGAGGUUGGCGGAAUUCCUUGUGUAGGGGUGGAAUGCAUAGAUAUGACGAAGAACACCGAUUACGUAGGCAGCUGACCAGACCGCAAAUGACGCUCAUGCACGAAAGUGCGGGGAUCGAACAGGAUUAGAUACCCUGGUAGUCCGCACAGUAAACGAUGAAUACUUGUUUUCGGCGAUAUAAUGUCGGAGGCAAAGCGAAAGCGAUAAGUAUUCCACCUGGGGAGUACGCCGGCAACGGUGAAACUCAAAGGAAUUGGCGGGG